UGGCUUAGAAGCAGCCAUCAUUUAAAGAAAGCGUAAUAGCUCACUGGUCGAGUCGGCCUGCGCGGAAGAUGUAACGGGGCUAAACCAUGCACCGAAGCUGCGGCAGCGACACUCAGGUGUUGUUGGGUAGGGGAGCGUUCUGUAAGCCUGCGAAGGUGGCCUGUGAGGGUUGCUGGAGGUAUCAGAAGUGCGAAUGCUGACAUAAGUAACGAUAAAGCGGGUGAAAAGCCCGCUCGCCGGAAGACCAAGGGUUCCUGUCCAACGUUAAUCGGGGCAGGGUGAGUCGACCCCUAAGGCGAGGCCGAAAGGCGUAGUCGAUGGGAAACGGGUUAAUAUUCCCGUACUUGGUGUUACUGCGAAGGGGGGACGGAGAAGGCUAUGUUGGCCGGGCGACGGUUGUCCCGGUUUAAGCGUGUAGGUGUGUGUUCCAGGUAAAUCCGGUUCACUUUAACACUGAGGCGUGAUGACGAGGCACUACGGUGCUGAAGCAACAAAUGCCCUGCUUCCAGGAAAAGCCUCUAAGCAUCAGGUAACAUCAAAUCGUACCCCAAACCGACACAGGUGGUCAGGUAGAGAAUACCAAGGCGCUUGAGAGAACUCGGGUGAAGGAACUAGGCAAAAUGGUGCCGUAACUUCGGGAGAAGGCACGCUGACACGUAGGUGAAGUGAUUUACUCAUGGAGCUGAAGUCAGUCGAAGAUACCAGCUGGCUGCAACUGUUUAUUAAAAACACAGCACUGUGCAAACACGAAAGUGGACGUAUACGGUGUGACGCCUGCCCGGUGCCGGAAGGUUAAUUGAUGGGGUCAGCGCAAGCGAAGCUCCUGAUCGAAGCCCCGGUAAACGGCGGCCGUAACUAUAACGGUCCUAAGGUAGCGAAAUUCCUUGUCGGGUAAGUUCCGACCUGCACGAAUGGCGUAAUGAUGGCCAGGCUGUCUCCACCCGAGACUCAGUGAAAUUGAACUCGCUGUGAAGAUGCAGUGUACCCGCGGCAAGACGGAAAGACCCCGUGAACCUUUACUAUAGCUUGACACUGAACAUUGAGCCUUGAUGUGUAGGAUAGGUGGGAGGCUUUGAAGCGUGGACGCCAGUCUGCGUGGAGCCGACCUUGAAAUACCACCCUUUAAUGUUUGAUGUUCUAACGUGGACCCGUAAUCCGGGUUGCGGACAGUGUCUGGUGGGUAGUUUGACUGGGGCGGUCUCCUCCUAAAGAGUAACGGAGGAGCACGAAGGUUGGCUAAUCCUGGUCGGACAUCAGGAGGUUAGUGCAAUGGCAUAAGCCAGCUUGACUGCGAGCGUGACGGCGCGAGCAGGUGCGAAAGCAGGUCAUAGUGAUCCGGUGGUUCUGAAUGGAAGGGCCAUCGCUCAACGGAUAAAAGGUACUCCGGGGAUAACAGGCUGAUACCGCCCAAGAGUUCAUAUCGACGGCGGUGUUUGGCACCUCGAUGUCGGCUCAUCACAUCCUGGGGCUGAAGUAGGUCCCAAGGGUAUGGCUGUUCGCCAUUUAAAGUGGUACGCGAGCUGGGUUUAGAACGUCGUGAGACAGUUCGGUCCCUAUCUGCCGUGGGCGCUGGAGAACUGAGGGGGGCUGCUCCUAGUACGAGAGGACCGGAGUGGACGCAUCACUGGUGUUCGGGUUGUCAUGCCAAUGGCACUGCCCGGUAGCUAAAUGCGGAAGAGAUAAGUGCUGAAAGCAUCUAAGCACGAAACUUGCCCCGAGAUGAGUUCU
rnacentral:rRNA from 1 species